UACGUAGGGGGCUAGCGUUGUCCGGAAUCAUUGGGCGUAAAGAGCGUGUAGGCUGCUCGGUAAGUCCGCUGUAAAAGUCAAAGGCUCAACCUUUGAAUGUCAGUAGAUACUGCCGGGCUAGAGUCCGGAAGAGGCGAGUGGAGUGGUGAAAUGCGUAGAGAUCCGGAGGAACACCAAAGGCGAAGGCAGUGUCCUGGGGAGUACCUGACGCUCAGGUGCGAAAGCCAGGGGAGCGAACGGG
rnacentral:rRNA from 1 species